UGAAAUUUUAUAUUUUAUAGAACCCAAAAUACCCAGCAAAUUUAACAUGAUUGCAAUAUUAACUAUUAUUAUUAAUCAUGUAUAUUCUCAGCAAGAACUUGACGUGAUAAACAACUAUAUCAAUGAUAUUUUGGCGACA